rnacentral:SRP_RNA from 1 species
GCCGGGCAUGGUGGCUCAUGCCUGUAAUCCCAGCACUUUGGGAGGCUGAGGCGGGUGGAUCACCUGAGGUCAGGAGUUCGAGGCCAGCCUGGCCAACAUGGUGAAAUCCUGUCUCUG